AGUGAGUGAGCUAACCCGUUUAACCCACCAACCCAUGGUAGGCCGUACCGAGUUCAAAUUUUUUCGGCUCAAUAAUAAAUGAAUCGGCUCAUUAAGUAACCAACCCGUAAUAGGUCGAAUCGAGUUGGAUCGAAUGACCCGUUUUGACACCACUAUCAUAAGGGUGUUGCUCCCUACACCUCCCCAAGUGGGACAUGUACCUCCCCAUUAAUUUAAUUUAUUUCAAAAAUAUUUUACACCUCCC
rnacentral:lncRNA from 1 species